GUCGGAAGGACAGCUGGUACUCAUGAGCUCUCCAGAGAGCCCCCGUCACUAAAGGCUGAGGGAGAACCCUGAGCCCGGGGACCUCCAGGCCAAAGAGGGAAUUCUAGGGCCGGGCCCAGGAGGCUGAAAAUAAGGACAACAAAGUAACAGCUAACAUUGGAUGAGGAAAAGUGAAGCACAGGGGUCUUAAAUCUCUCUGGGUCUCAGUUUCCUGAAAAUCCAACACUUCUGAAGGAAUACCAGAAGCAGCUGCAACCACGCAGCCUAGGAAGCCCUCAAGAACCUGGCGGUGGGAAAGUCUAGGCGCUCGCUCAAAUGGGAAGGGGCCCGCAGGAGCCCGAGGAGAACGGCCAACUGUUGGGAAGCUGGAAGAUUUUUUACAUGACGCAGGCUUCGCGGACUGUGAGAGCGUGACGGAUUCUUAAAGACCUGGAUCCCACCUGCCUCAAAUGAAAGCAGUUUAACACCAGAGGUAUGUGAUACGUGAUAAAUAUCUUCCAGGCUCACCGGUUUUACCCUUGGAAGUUGUGUGUGGGAAGUUUAGUAAUUUAAGGUAUUUUGAUACCAAAUAUGGAUGUUUGGGAAAUGCAAAUUGUUCAUUGAUCAAGAUUAAACACAAGGCUUCAAGAAAUUUCGGGCUUACAGCUUAACAAGGCUGGCUUUGGAGAGUGUGAUG